rnacentral:lncRNA from 1 species
CCAGGCCGAACACCGCAGUGGGGGUAAGAUGCGUAGAGGUGGGGGAAGAAGUGUACAAAGAAAGGGCCUGGAUGGGUGGGGGUCCCAAAAGGACCUAAGCAGCAGGAGACCCCCAGGAGUGGGCUUUAGGCCCAGCAGCUCCCCCUUCUCAAGGUGAGUCCAGAGGCCAUUCUGGAGUGGGCCUGGGUACCAGGCCCUGGGUACUCCUUUUGGUACCAGGCUGGCCUCCUGAUUCCUGAGGCGUUGGCUCGGCACCCCAUGGGGGACUGCCCUCCUCCAGGCCUGGCACAAAGCCAGGGGGCUAAGAGCAGUCUGCAGGACAGAGGGCAGGACCACAGCAGGGAGGGGGCUCCGAUGCCAGCUCCCCCUCAUGCCAUAUGAGGCCAGGCCUGUGGCUCGAAGCCCCUGAGCUGGGCAUGUCCUGAGAGUCUGGGACCAUCCAGGGGCUGCAUCUUCAUCCUCAGCCCUGCGUAGCCUUCUGCCCUCCUCCCAGGGCCCGUCCAUUCCUUCAGCUCCAGCGCCUCCUCCACACGUCCAUGCCUUCCACCUUGCCACAUGGAGCACAGCCGUGCCCCCACAAGCCAGAGGGAACAACGAAACUGGCAAGAAAGAACAGCAGUUAGAGCAGGGGCAACACUGGAGAAAGGAGUAUCUAUUAUGAGCUUGGGCAUUUUACACCAGCACUUCCCAGCCUUUUCCAUAAACAUGGAAAACAUUUUUUGCAUACGUACUGUGGUAAAGGAAUCUGCUUCCUCCCAGGCCCCGGAUCAAUCCUCAGCACAGGGGGUCUGCCUUACAAAAGACGUGGGAUCCUCUAGAGUCGACCAGCAGGCAAGGGCAUUAACAGGACCAUCAAAGUGGGGUAUGGCACUAGAUGGGGCCCCAGGCUCACUAGGACUCUCUACUGUUGAAGACAUCUGCAGGCGGGUAAGGUCGCCUAGGAGGUGGUAGUGGGGAGAGGAGGAUCUAGGUUUCCACUGGAAAAAUUAAGGCUAGAAGGAAGGCUAAAUCCUUUCUCAGCCCUACUCCUACUUCUCACAAGAAGGGAGUGGCAUCUGGGGAAGAGGGCACAGGGCUGAGAGCCAGGGCUUCUAGAUUCUAUUCCUGGCCCCUCCCCUGGGCCUUCCUGACCACAAAUCCGCC